rnacentral:rRNA from 1 species
GACGAACGCUGGCGGCGUGCCUAAUACAUGCAAGUAGAACGCUGAAGGAGGAGCUUGCUUCUCUGGAUGAGUUGCGAACGGGUGAGUAACGCGUAGGUAACCUGCCUGGUAGCGGGGGAUAACUAUUGGAAACGAUAGCUAAUACCGCAUAAUAGUAGAUGUUGCAUGACAUUUGCUUAAAAGGUGCAAUUGCAUCACUACCAGAUGGACCUGCGUUGUAUUAGCUAGUUGGUGGGGUAACGGCUCACCAAGGCGACGAUACAUAGCCGACCUGAGAGGGUGAUCGGCCACACUGGGACUGAGACACGGCCCAGACUCCUACGGGAGGCAGCAGUAGGGAAUCUUCGGCAAUGGACGGAAGUCUGACCGAGCAACGCCGCGUGAGUGAAGAAGGUUUUCGGAUCGUAAAGCUCUGUUGUAAGAGAAGAACGAGUGUGAGAGUGGAAAGUUCACACUGUGACGGUAUCUUACCAGAAAGGGACGGCUAACUACGUGCCAACAGCCGCGGUAAUACGUAGGUCCCGAGCGUUGUCCGGAUUUAUUGGGCGUAAAGCGAGCGCAGGCGGUUAGAUAAGUCUGAAGUUAAAGGCUGUGGCUUAACCAUAGUACGCUUUGGAAACUGUUUAACUUGAGUGCAAGAGGGGAGAGUGGAAUUCCAUGUGUAGCGGUGAAAUGCGUAGAUAUAUGGAGGAACACCGGUGGCGAAAGCGGCUCUCUGGCUUGUAACUGACGCUGAGGCUCGAAAGCGUGGGGAGCAAACAGG